AACGAACGCUGGCGGCGUGCCUAACACAUGCAAGUCGAACGUGAUUAGAGAGCUUGCUCUCUAUGAAAGUGGCGCACGGGUGAGUAACGCGUAGAUAAUCUACCUGAUGAUUCGGGAUAACACUUCGAAAGGGGUGCUAAUACCGAAUAAGCCCACGGAGUCCUUGGACUCUGCGGGAAAAGGGGGGGACCUUCGGGCCUUCCGUCAUCAGAUGAGUCUGCGUACCAUUAGCUAGUUGGUAGGGUAAAGGCCUACCAAGGCGACGAUGGUUAGCUGGUCUGAGAGGAUGAUCAGCCACACUGGAACUGAGACACGGUCCAGACUCCUACGGGAGGCAGCAGUGGGGGAUUUUGCGCAAUGGGGGAAACCCUGACGCAGCAACGCCGCGUGAGUGAUGAAGGCCCUUGGGUCGUAAGGCUCUGACAGAGGGAAAGAAAUGCAGGGGAGCUAAUAUCUCCCUUGCUUGACGGUACCCUCAAAGGAAGCACCGGCUAACUCCGUGCCAGCCGCCGCGGUAA
rnacentral:rRNA from 1 species